rnacentral:rRNA from 1 species
ACGGAGGGUGCGAGCGUUAUUCGGAAUUACUGGGCGUAAAGCGCGUGCAGGCGGGGAGGCAAGUCUGUUGUGAAAGCCCUGGGCUUAACCCGGGGAGUGCAUGGGAAACUAUCUUUCUUGGGGUCUGGAGAGGGAGGGGGAACUGCCAGGGUAGGGGUGAAAUCCGAAGAUACUGGGAGGAAUACCAGUGGCGAAGGCGCCCUACUGGAACGAUACUGACGCUGAGUAACGAAAGCGAGGGGAGCAAACAG